GCGCAAUAACUGCAUGUUAUGUUUCUCACAGCAUCGCGCAACGUGGACGUCAUGCUCGAUUCUUUUAUUGAGCAUGUCAACGCCAACAUCAUGCUCAGAUCACGACAAAAAAGAAUGGAUGUUGUGGAAUUGCGGCGGUCAAGGGCAACGCUAGUUAGUGGCGUGGUUGUCAACGCUUGGAUGUGGCAUUGGGCAACGUAGACGUCAUGCUCGAUUCUUUUAUUGAGCAUGUCAACGCCAACAUCAUGCUCAGAUCACGACAAAAAAGAAUGGACGUUGUGGAAUUGCGGUGGUCAAGGGCAACGCUAGUUAGUGGUGUGGUCAUCAACGCUUGGACGUGGCAUUGGGCAACGUAGACGUCAUGCUCGAUUCUUUUAUUGAGCAUGUCAACGCCAACAUCAUGCUCACAUCACGACAAAAAAGAAUGGAUGUUGUGGAAAUGUGAUGGUCAAGGGCAACGCUAGUUAGACCAUCUCCA